CCUACGGGUGGCAGCAGUGGGGGAUAUUGCACAAUGGGGGGAACCCUGAUGCAGCGACGCCGCGUGGGUGAAGAAGCGCCUCGGCGCGUAAAGCCCUGUCAGCAGGGAAGAAAAUGACGGUACCUGAAGACGAAGCCCCGGCUAACUACGUGCCAGCAGCCGCGGUAAUACGUAGGGGGCAAGCGUUAUCCGGAUUUACUGGGUGUAAAGGGGGCGCAGACGGCGAUGCAAGCCAGGAGUGAAAGCCCGGGGCCCAACCCCGGGACUGCUCUUGGAACUGCGGGGCUGGAGUGCAGGAGGGGCAGGCGGAAUUCCUGGUGUAGCGGUGAAAUGCGUAGAUAUCACGAAGAACUCCGAUUGCGAAGGCAGCUUACUAAACUGCCACUGACAUUGAUGCUCGAAAGUGUGGGUAUCAAACAGGAUUAGAUACCCGAGUAGUC
rnacentral:rRNA from 1 species